UACAGAGGUCUCAAGCGUUGUUCGGAUUCAUUGGGCGUAAAGGGUGCGUAGGUGGUGGGGUAAGUCGGAUGUGAAAUCCCGGGGCUCAACCCCGGAACUGCAUUCGAAACUGCCUUGCUCGAGUACUGGAGAGGAGACUGGAAUUUACGGUGUAGCAGUGAAAUGCGUAGAUAUCGUAAGGAAGACCAGUGGCGAAGGCGGAUCUCUGGACAGUUACUGACACUGAGGCACGAAGGCCAGGGGAGCAAACGGG
rnacentral:rRNA from 1 species